GUGGGGAAUAUUGCACAAUGGGGGAAACCCUGAUGCAGCGACGCCGCGUGAAGGAAGAAGUAUCUCGGUAUGUAAACUUCUAUCAGCAGGGAAGAAAAUGACGGUACCUGACUAAGAAGCCCCGGCUAACUACGUGCCAGCAGCCGCGGUAAUACGUAGGGGGCAAGCGUUAUCCGGAUUUACUGGGUGUAAAGGGAGCGUAGACGGAAGAGCAAGUCUGAUGUGAAAGGCUGGGGCUUAACCCCAGGACUGCAUUGGAAACUGUUGUUCUAGAGUGCCGGAGAGGUAAGCGGAAUUCCUAGUGUAGCGGUGAAAUGCGUAGAUAUUAGGAGGAACACCAGUGGCGAAGGCGGCUUACUGGACGGUAACUGACGUUGAGGCUCGAAAGCGUGGGGAGCAAACAGGAUUAGAUACCCGGGUAGUCC
rnacentral:rRNA from 1 species